rnacentral:tRNA from 1 species
UGGCACAAUGGUUAAGCAUUUGGCUGCUAACCAAAAAAUUUGGUGGUUUGAAUCCACC